GAAAUGCGAUAACUAGUGUGAAUUGCAGAAUUCCGUGAAUCAUCGAGUCUUUGAACGCACAUUGCGCCCCCUGGUAUUCCGGGGGGCAUGCCUGUCCGAGCGUCAUUGCUGCCCAUCAAGCACGGCUUGUGUGUUGGGUCGUCGUCCCCUCUCCGGGGGGGACGGGCCCCAAAGGCAGCGGCGGCACCGCGUCCGAUCCUCGAGCGUAUGGGGCUUUGUCACCCGCUCUGUAGGCCCGGCCGGCGCUUGCCGAACGCAAAUCAAUCUUUUUCCAGGUUGACCUCGGAUCAGGUAGGGAUACCCGGUGAACUUAAGC
rnacentral:misc_RNA from 1 species